rnacentral:pre_miRNA from 1 species
AUUGUAUUACCUCCUCCCAAAAUUCUUGUCUUAUAUUUGUCUAGAUAUGGAUGUAUCUAGCCCAAAAUUCAUGUCUUAUAUUUGUCUAGAUACAGAUGUAUCUAAUACUAAAACAUGACUAGAUACAUCUGUAUGUAGACAAAUUUAAGACAAGAAUUUUGAGAUGGAGGGAAUAUUUU